CAGAGUUAAUCCAAACUCCCAACCCUUUGUGAACCAUAUCGUCGUUGCCUCGGCGUGAGCGGCGGCCACCCAGAGAGUAGCUACCCUGGAGAUGCAGAGUAGCUACCCUGGAGCUGCAAACUACGCCCGCCGGAGGACCACUAAACUCUUGUUUUUACCAUGUAUUUCUGAAUGCUUCAACUAUAAAUAGUU
rnacentral:misc_RNA from 1 species